UGGGGAAUUUUGGGCAAUGGGCGAAAGCCUGACCCAGCAACGCCGCGUGAGGGAGGAAAUCCUUCGGGAUGUAAACCUCGCAAGCAAGGGAAGACAGCUAGAGAUUUAAUAAAUUUCUAGUCCGACGGUACCUUGCGUAAGCCACGGCUAACUACGUGCCAGCAGCCGCGGUAAUACGUAGGGUGCAAGCGUUAAUCGGAAUUACUGGGCGUAAAGCGUGCGCAGGCGGUUGUGUAAGUCAGAUGUGAAAUCCCCGGGCUCAACCUGGGAAUUGCAUUUGAGACUGCACGGCUAGAGUGUGUCAGAGGGGGGUAGAAUUCCACGUGUAGCAGUGAAAUGCGUAGAUAUGUGGAGGAAUACCGAUGGCGAAGGCAGCCCCCUGGGAUAACACUGACGCUCAUGCACGAAAGCGUGGGUAGCAAACAGGAUUAGAUACCCCAGUAGUCCCUGAGCGGGCUGGCAAGGCGCAU
rnacentral:rRNA from 1 species